GUGCUCUCGUGGCUGGACUGCUGGUGAGUGUACCCUUUCUGCAGAAAGUAAACUAGCCUUGCUGAGAGAUCCUUUGUCUCGGUGUUGAUUUCUUUACAACAUCAAAUUCCCGUGCCCAUCAAUUUUGUGGCUCGUAUGGGGACACUGUUUCCCCUCCAGUCCUUGGCCCUCUCUUGUGGGGAGGCACCCAGCUGCCCUGCUGCAGCAGCCCCAGGGAGAUAGCCAGGGCUCACCCAGUAAGAGGAAUACAUCUGGAUUCUCAGCAAUGCAGGGGACAAGGAGACUUUUAAAACCGCGGGACCAGGAGACCUCGUGCAUGAGCCAAGGUCUUUUAGCACAAGCACCACCCUUGGAAUUCCCAGUACAAUCGCAUCAGCCUGGAGACCACGUCUUCAUAAAGGGAUGGAAGGAAGGAAGGCUCGAGCCAGCCUGGGAAGGAUCCUACCUCAUGUUAUUGACCAUCGAAACCGCAGUUCGCACUGCCGAGAAGGGGUGGACCCAUCACACUCGAGUCAAGAAAGCGUCGACACCCUCAGAAUCCUGGAUUGUGGUCCCCGAGCCAAGUCCCACCAAGUUAAAAUUAAGAAGAACCUAACAUACCUUUAUUUCUAUUUUUCUUUCUUUCCUCUCACUAUCUCUCAUUUUAUUAUUAACAUAACUAGAUUGGAAUCAUCUCAAGUGAUAUCCUUUGAUGCUUGUCUAGUGAUGCCAUGCGGGGACCUACAUAACCAAAGGCAACUAGCCUCUUCAGAAAAAUAUCUAUGUCCUGGUCCCCCAUUUAAUCUAACAGUCUCUCACUCCCAUAGAUGCGAUCAAUUAAAGCCAAGACGCCGCUUCUUCAUUCCCACCGAAUGGCAGCCUUGCAGCAGUUGGAAUAAUGUUCUAUGGACCACUCAAUACAGAGGCUGGACCUCUACAGGAGGGGUUUGUACUGAGCUUAGGCCUAAUCUUUAUUUCACAUAAGGAAGCAUUUCCCCUGAUUGUAAGCUUUAUCAGUGUAACCCUAUUCUUAAUUCUAAUAUAGAUAAUCAGCCAGCUAUCGGCCAUCUCUACGGUAUUGGGCAAAUGUCAAAGGGGAAGGAUCCGAUAGGGAGGUUUGAAAUACGCCUUCUCCCUCUUCCUCCUUUCCCUUCUCCAACCCCAGUAGUCUCGGCUUUAAAUCAAACUUCUAUUAUCCCAAUUAGUCCUUUACUAAAUGAUAAGACAAAAGCAUCAGUAGUACAAGUAAAUGACUUAAAGCAGACUUAAGCUAUUGAGACAGGGUAUCAAGAUGCAAAUGCCUGGUUAAAACGGAUUAAAUAUUCUGUCCACACUCUAAACAAAAGCGACUGUUACACUUGUGCACACGGUAAGCCAGAGGCCCAGAUUGUCCCCUUUCCACUUAAGUGUUCUUCACAUGCGACGGAUUUGGAGUGUGUGGUAGCUCUCUUUCAAGAUUCUACAGCCUGGAAUGAUGAAUCUUGCCAAGCUCUCUCUCUGCUAUAUCCUGAAGUACAACACCCUGAGGGUCAGCCCCCGAGGGCCAUUCAGCCUCCAUCUUCCAGGGCAGAGUUUGCCUCAUGCCUCUCACAGCAGGAGGAGAACUCAAUAUUCCUUGGAAAUUUCACAGGAUGCAGGGAGGUAAGGCACUUCUAAGAGCUAACCCAUGAGGCCUCCAUCAGCCAUCCUUGAGUGGGACAUAUGGUGGUAAUGUCGGGGGGCACUUACUGGAUACUCUGCCAUAUAACUGGAAUGGUACUUGCACUCUAGUCCAAUUGGCUAUCCCUUUUACCCUGGCAUUUCAUCAACAAAAAUAGGAAACACCCCACCACCAACACACUACAAGAGCUCCUUACAGAUCCUUUGAUCCUCAUAUCCACCUAGAUGCGACAGGUGUUGCAAGGGGGGUUCCUGAUGAAUUUAAGGCCAGAGAUCAGAUAGCUGCUAGACUCGAGUCAACGUUAUUUUGGUGGGUCACGAUAAACAAAAAUGUAGACUGGAUAAACUAUAUUUACUAUAAUCAACAAUGAUUAGUUAACUACACCAAAGUGGUCAGGGGAAUUGCAGAUGAAUUAAGAUCUACUAGCCAAAUGACACAGGAUAACAGAAUCACUCUUGAUAUGAUGCUAGCUGAGAAAGGUGGUGUUUGCGUAAUGAUUAAGACCCAAUACUGCACGUUCAUUCCAAAUAACACAGCCCCAGAUAGAAGUAUAACAAGAGCCCUAGAGGGACUUACUGCUUUAUCAAACAAGCUAGCUAAGAACUCUGGCAUAAAUAACCCAUCUCUAGCUGGCUAGAAAACUGAUUUGGAAAUUGGAAAGAUAUCUUAACCUCAAUCCUCACUUCCUCUAUAACUGUGUUAGGUAUACUUCUACUUAUUGGAUGUUGUGUCAUACCCUGUAUUCGACGGCUUGUACAAAGGCUCAUCAGUACAACCCUUAAUAAUCUAUCCUCUGCCUCUCCCCCACCCUAUUCGGAAAGGUUGCUUUUAUUAGGGGAUCAAGCCAAACAACAAAGCAGAGACUUGCUAGACAAGUUUGAAGAAUUAUAAAACAAAAAGAGGAGGGAAUUGAAAGGAAUGGAGAAGUUCCUCAAAGUUUCUUAAAUCCAUACAGAUUUAUCAUUCCCCGGUUAAAUGUUAGGAUGUGUGUAUUCCAAGGCUGCUCCAGCUUGUUCCAGUAGGUUGAGAUAAGGCUAAAUGAGUCCCAGAUCAGGAUACAUGCCAUUCCUUAUUUGGGAACCCCUCUGACCUCUCAUCACUAACUUCCUCUUUUCUUUGUCCUUUUUCCCUUCGUCCUAUUUAGGAAAGUUUUAAAUUAUUAACCAAUCCAGUUAAGUUUAGAGUGUGAGGUCCCAUCCCAGCCAAUGGGAACGGGACACAGCCAUAGGGGAUUGCAUCAGGAUGUAAAGGUUAUAAAUGUCCCCGUCUCCUUUGUUUGGUGUGCUCUCGUGGCUGGACUGCUGGUGAGUGCACCCUUUUGGCAGAAAGUAAACCAGCCUUGCUAAGAGA